GACGAACGCUGGCGGCGUGCUUAACACAUGCAAGUCGAACGGAAAGGCCCUGCUUUUGUUGGUUGCUCGAGUGGCGAACGGGUGAGUAACACGUGAGUAACCUGCCCUUGACUUUGGGAUAACUUCAGGAAACUGGGGCUAAUACCGGAUAGGAGCUCCUGCUGCAUGGUGGGGGUUGGAAAGUUUCGGCGGUUGGGGAUGUACUCGCGGCUUAUCAGCUUGUUGGUGGGGUAGUGGCUUACCAAGGCUUUGACGGGUAGCCGGCCUGAGAGGGUGACCGGCGACAUUGGGACUGAGAGACGGCACAGACUGCUAAGGGAGGCAGAAGGGGGGAAUAUUGAAGAAUGGGCGGAAGCCUGAUGCAGAAACGCCGCGGGCGGGAUGACUGUCUUAGGGUGGUAAACCGAUUUCGCAAGUGACGAAGCGUGAGUGAAGGUAAUGGGUAAAGAAGCACCGGCUAACUACGUG
rnacentral:rRNA from 1 species